rnacentral:misc_RNA from 1 species
CGCACAUUGCGCCCCUUGGUAUUCCAUGGGGCAUGCCUGUUCGAGCGUCAUUUGUACCUUCAAGCCUAGCUUGGUGUUGGGUGCUUGUCCCUCCUCGGCGAGCGGACUCACCUUGAAUGCAUUGGCAGCCGGCCAUCUGGUAGUAGAGCGCAGCACAAAUUGCACUCUGUAUCCGACCGUUGGCGUCCAAACAGCCUACCAACCUAACUUUUGACCUCGGAUCAGGUAGGGAUACCCGCUGAACUUAA